AUACUGACCUGGCAGGGGAGACACCAUGAUCAGGCAGGUGUUCCCCCAGGGGGAGGCCUGGCCAUUGCACUGCGGCUGUGCUGAUCCCUGUGAUUUCCCCAAGUGUGGGAAACUCAAGUGCAGAAUUUGUGGUAGUGGGGGACUGUGUGCGUGCUCUCCCCUA